GAUGAAGAACGCAGCGAAAUGCGAUAAGUAGUGUGAAUUGCAGAAUUCAGUGAAUCAUCGAAUCUUUGAACGCACAUUGCGCCCUUUGGUAUUCCUUAGGGCAUGCCUGUUCGAGCGUCAUUUAAACCUUCAAGCUAAGCUUGGUGUUGGGUGACUGUCCGCUUCACGGCGGACUCGCCUCAAAAUUAUUGGCGGCCGGUACAUUGGCUUCGAGCGCAGCAGAAACGCGAACUCGGGCCCGUCGUAUUGGCUCCCAGAAGCUAUCUUCACAAUUUUGACCUCGGAUCAGGUAGGGAUACCCGCUGAACUUAAGCAUAUCAAUAAGCGGAUGA
rnacentral:misc_RNA from 1 species